CUGGAAGACAUGCGCUCGGGUGGUGAAGAUGGGCUGUUCUCUGCAAUAAGAGAGUGGGCGUAUAAUAGAAUUGCACAUAGAGAACACCCAAGAAAAUCAACUGAAAAAGAUAUCACCAAGGUGGCCUCAAGAAUUGAUAGGAUCCCAGCCACAAGUGAAGGUAUGUUACCAGCUAGAGCAGGCUGAGAGCAGAACAGCUGCCCUUUAUCUUGGGGAAAUAGCACAGGCACCUGUCCCUCCUCUCCCAGGGCCCCAGGGGGAACUGCUGGAACAGCCCUUUCCUUCGCACCCAAGGACAUGGCACAUGAUACCAAAGACACAUGCAGGAAGGUGCAAGCGGGGAAGAUCCGCCCCCGUGGGGACAGCAGCAAACCCCAGUGUAUGUGAGAGGGAGAAGUUACGUGUUUAGAAUAUUAUGAGAUUGAGGCAUUUAAGGGAAGUCUUCAAGGAAGGAAAACUAGUUAAGAAGAAUAAACCCAUUGUUCUACAGCCAUGGUGAGCUUGCUGUAAACACUUGGAAACAGUGUGCCUCCCACCAGCCUUUCAUAUGCUGCAGGCCUAUGCACACAGUAGGCCCAAAAUACUUGCUAAACUAGAUUAUUUGGCUUUAAAAUUAUAUCACAUGUGCCCAGCAAGGCAAAACUCAUCUCUAUUAUUUCCCACAAUGUCAAGGGCAAAAGUGAAAUCAACCUCAUCUGGUCUAAGACAGGUGUGGGGGCCCCAAAUCCUUAUAGUUUAGGGGCGAGACUGCUGCUGAGACUAGAGCCCUGCAGGACUGGGUCAGCCUGCUCCUCAGCUGGACCAUCUACUCCGAGGAGCAGCUCGGAGCAGGAUCAUGGAGAACACCUGGGCAGCAAAUGGCCCAGAGCUAACUAGGGACUAAAAGCAGGCAGCAUUGCCCGAGCCGCAUUACACACUCAUCAAAGUCCCAGUGUCUACUCUCAUAAGAAUCCUUCAAAAAUCUAACGCUUGACCCUAGGGACACAGAGAUAUAUAGACGCCAUCCCUCCCGGACAGCACUCACUGGCAGUGACUCAGGAUGAGUACUGGGUGCAGAAACUCCAGCACCUGAGGGUACAGAUACUCAGGCCACGGUGCUCUGGGGUUCAGGUGUCACAGCCAGAGGUCUUUGCCAGGGAUCCUCUAGAGCAGGCAGAUGCUAUUCUCAGGACAGUGUGAUCAUGUUGGGACAGUGCCCACGGGACAGGAUACCACAGUGCUCAGAUUUCUCUCCUACCAGGGCCUCAUUUCCGUGUCCUACUUGAGUAUCAGGCCCCACCUCAGCAGGUGAGGCUGGGUGGUCUGGUGGGGGCUCAUUCCCUUAGUUCUUCUCCAUGGGGUUUCCCCUCCACACUCACCUCCACAGCUUUGAGGACAUGUCUAUGUGAUGACACCUGAAUGUGUACCUCCAGCCCAGGUGUCUCUCCUGAACCCCAUGCUUGCACCUUACCUCCCUGCUGCUGUUCUCCCUGCACCCCUAUUUCAGUGACUCACACCACUGGAUCUGUCACUAUGGCAGAAACCUGGGAAUCUCACACCCAGCACACAGCAGGAACAUCUCCCUCGCUGUCCUCUCCUCAGCAGCCCAGGCUGUCAGCCUCCUACCUAGUAGUGUCCUCCAAUGGGCCACAGGUGUGUUGAACUCGGCCCCGUAAAUGGCUGUGCAGGGCACAACUCUGAGUGUCAAUCAUGAAAGACACGCAGACUCAUUACAUCAACUGCCUGGCAGAUCACAGAUUUCCAGAAGGUGUCUUAAAGAAGCGUUUUUUUCUAAUUUGUACAAAGAUGUCACUUGUCCUGGGAAGAAGUAGCCUGCUGAGAAGGGGAUCUCAACCCUCAGGGUGCAGAGCAGGGCCUGGGCCACAGGAGUCCCAGGGCUGGGCACUGUUUUGUCCAUUUGCCUAGGUGCUGUAAACAUAUUUUCCAUGUGUCCGUGACACUAAAAAGAUUGGGAAACACUGACCUAGAUUACACCAAUAGCCCCUCUGUGCUUCUGGAUCUCUUCUGUUGGCAAAAACAAGCUCAGGUCUCUCCCAUUUAUACCAGACAUGUAAGUUAACAUGCCUGCUCUACCCAACACCUCUCUCUGCCUUCAGGCCUUACUCAGGGAAGUCACAACGGGUUGCUCGUCCAUACAGGAUCAAGGACAGGUUGGCCUGUUGGCCAGACGCCCAGCACAAACAGCUCAGCCCAGUGAGGGAGAGUCAUUAGGUAAGCCAUCAACCACCUCCCUGCAGAAUUCAGUCAUCAUUGUUGCAUGUGGAGUCCCUUCUCAUACAUAAUCAUACAUUACUAGUAUAAUAAUCCAAUUAUCCAACUCUCCCAACAAAGAGGCUUCACAGAUCAAACUGACCUCAGGUUUGAGCAUUAUUUACAAAAAGGUCAACCAGAAAUUAAUUGGAACGUCCAGUACCAGGAAGAAUCAAGUCAAUAAAUUAACACAAUAGAGUACUAUGUAACCCUUUUAAAAAAGAACAUUCUUAUGACUAUAUAAAUAUUGUUCCCUGCAGAGGCAAAAAAUGUGCCAGGAUUAUAGUUCUUUCUGUACAGUUCCAAUGUCAACAGCAGAGUGCUACUCACAGGAAAACAUUCCUAGUAUCAAGGUCAGAGAGAAGCUUCUCCUUUCUAGCACUCUCCCAGUUGUUCAAAAGCAGGCGGUAUCUUUCGUGCACUUCAUAUUUGAAACAUGACAUGCUUGUGAUAAUUUUUAAUUUUUGUGAUGUUUUCCUAUUGCCUUCUCUAUCGAGGAAAGAAACACAGCCCGUCUUCCCAUAACCCUAGUAUAUUCCAGCUUGUUCACUCUGUCCAUUGUCUGGAAUCUGCUCCAGUCUCUGUCCUCAAGAUAUUAUUCUUGGAGCCAGUAACUUCCACCUGUAAUUUGGAGUGAAUGCUUCUGAGGCCCAUUCAUAGCCAUCUGUCCAGAAGUUCUUUUCACCAGACUCCCAGGAGCCAUCAAUUCUUUUUGCCCACUUCCCCACAUCAUGACCUCCUUCAUAGUCUUCGCCAUUGUUUUGCUGUUGUAGAUCCUCAAGAUGAGCGGGAGGUCAACUUUAAGUCCUUGCACAUCAGGAAUGGCCUUUACUUUCCCCCUUAUACUUGAUUGGUUUUGGCUGGAUGUAUCCUAGGGCUGCUGUACCAAAUUCCCACAAACUUGGGGGCUUACAUGACAGGAAUUUAUUUUCUCACAGCUCUGGAGGGCAGAAAUCCGCAGUCAGUUGACUGGGCUGAAACCAAGGUGUCGCCAGGGCCAUGCUGCCUCCAGAGGCUCUAGGGUUGGAAGCUCUAAGGAAGCAUCCAUUGCCCCACCUUUCCCAGCUUCUAGAGCUGCGUUCCUUGGCUCAUGGCCUCCUCCUCCAUCUUCAAAGCCUGCAGCAAAGCAUCUUCAAAGCUCUCUGCAGAGAUCCUCACAUCCUCUUCUCUAUUCUGUGUGUAGUAAAAUCUCCCUCUGCUACUCUCUUCAGAACACUUGUGAUUACACUGGGCCCUGGAUAAUGCAGGAUAACCUCCCCAUCUCAAAGUCCUUAACUUAUCAUAUCUGCAAAGACCCUUUAACAUAUACGGUAACGUAGGUUCAGAAAUGAGCAUCUGAUAUAUCUAUGGGAGACAUUUUUUAGCCUACCACUCUGGGGGUAAAACAAUCUUUUUUUUUUUUUUUUUUAAGACACAAAGUCUUACUAUGUUGCCCAGGCUAGAUUCAAAUUCUUGGGCUCAAGCAAUCCUCUUACUUCAGCCUCCCUAGGAGCUGCGACUACCACAGCACUCAGCUUAAAACAAUUGUUUUAAAUGGCUUAAAAAAAAUGAUUUUCAGACGGGCAUGGUGGCU
rnacentral:lncRNA from 1 species